rnacentral:rRNA from 1 species
AUUAUGGCUCAGAACGAACGCUGGCAGCGUGGAUUAGGCAUGCAAGUCGAACGGGAUCCGGUAGGCAGCAAUGUCGGCCGGUGAGAGUGGCGGAAGGGCGAGGAACACGUGGGCAACCUGUCUUGAGGUGGGGAAAACCGCUGGAAACGGCGGCUAAUACCGAAUGUAGCGCCCGCUCGCAUGAGCGGAGCGCCAAAGGGGGCGAAAGCUCCCCCUCUUCGAGGGGCCCGCGCACCAUCAGCUUGUUGGCGGGGUAACGGCCCACCAAGGCUCACGGUUAGCUGGUCUGAGAGGAUGGCCAGCCGCACUGGGACUGAGAUACUGCCCAGACUCCUACGGGAGGCUGCAGUCGAGGAUCAUUUGCAAUGGGCGAAAGCCUGACAAUGCGACGCUGCGUGGAGGAUGAAGGCCCUCGGGUUGUAAACUCCUGUCAUGGGGGAAAAGGAAACCCUGCCCAAUACGCAGGGAAUUUGAUGGUACCCCAAGAGGAAGCGACGGCUAACUCUGUGCCAGCCGCGGC